rnacentral:rRNA from 2 species
GGGUUGUGAGGUUAAGCGACUAAGCGUACACGGUGGAUGCCCUGGCAGUCAGAGGCGAUGAAGGGCGUGCUAAUCUGCGAUAAGCGCCGGUAAGGUGAUAUGAACCGUUAUAACCGGCGAUACCCGAAUGGGGAAACCCAGUGUGACUCGUCACACUAUCAUUAACUGAAUCCAUAGGUUAAUGAGGCGAACCGGGGGAACUGAAACAUCUAAGUACCCCGAGGAAAAGAAAUCAACCGAGAUUCCCCCAGUAGCGGCGAGCGAACGGGGAGGAGCCCAGAGCCUGAAUCAGCAUGUGUGUUAGUGGAAGCGUCUGGAAAGGCGCGC